rnacentral:rRNA from 1 species
ACGGCUGAGUAACGCGUAGGAACGUACCCCAAAGUGAGGGAUAAGCCCGAGAAAUCGGGUCUAAUACCGCAUAUGAUCUUCGGAUUAAAGCAUUUAUGCGCUUUGGGAACGGCCUGCGUCGGAUUAGGUUGUUGGUGAGGUAAUGGCUCACCAAGCCGACGAUCCGUAACUGGUCUGAGAGGAUGAUCAGUCAGACUGGAACUGAGACACGGUCCAGACUCCUACGGGAGGCAGCAGUGAGGAAUCUUCCACAAUGGGGGCAACCCUGAUGGAGCAACGCCGCGUGCAGGAUGAAGGCCUUCGGGUUGUAAACUGCUUUUAUUUGUGAAGAAUAUGACGGUAACAAAUGAAUAAGGAUCGGCUAACUACGUGCCAGCAGCCGCGGUCAUACGUAGGAUCCGAGCGUUAUCCGGAGUGACUGGGCGUAAAGAGUUGCGUAGGCGGUUUGUUAAGCGAAUAGUGAAAUCUGGUGGCUCAACCAUACAGACUAUUAUUCGAACUGGCAAACUCGAGAGUAGCAGAGGUAACUGGAAUUUCUAGUGUAGGAGUGAAAUCCGUAGAUAUUAGAAGGAACACCGAUGGCGUAGGCAGGUUACUGGGCUAUUUCUGACGCUAAGGCACGAAAGCGUGGGGAGCGAACCGGAUUAGAUACCCGGGUAGUCCA